UACGUAGGGGGCAAGCGUUGUCCGGAAUCACUGGGCGUAAAGCGCACGUAGGCGGAUUGUUAAGUCAGGGGUGAAAUCCUGGAGCUCAACUCCAGAACUGCCUUUGAUACUGGCGAUCUCGAGUCCGGGAGAGGUGAGUGGAACUGCGAGUGUAGAGGUGAAAUUCGUAGAUAUUCGCAAGAACACCAGUGGCGAAGGCGGCUCACUGGCCCGGUACUGACGCUGAGGUGCGAAAGCGUGGGGAGCAACAGG
rnacentral:rRNA from 1 species